rnacentral:rRNA from 1 species
AAGUCGUAACAAGGUUUCCGUAGGUGAACCUGCGGAAGGAUCAUUACCGAAUUGCCAACAUGAGUUGUUGCUGGCCCUCAAAUGGGGGCAUGUGCACACUCUGUUUGCACAUCCACUCACACCUGUGCACCCUCUGUAGUUCUAUGGCCUGUGGGACUCUGUCCUCCUGUGCUGUGGUUCUAUAUCUUUACACACACACACUGUAAUGAAGUAUCAUGGAAUGUAUGCCGCGUUUAACGCAAUACAAUACAACUUUCAGCAACGGAUCUCUUGACUCUCGCAUCGAUGAAGAACGCAGCGAAAUGCGAUAAGUAAUGUGAAUUGCAGAAUUCAGUGAAUCAUCGAAUCUUUGAACGCGCCUUGCGCCCUUUGGCUAUUCCGAAGGGCAUGCCUGUUUGAGUAUCAUGAACACCUCAACUCUCAUGGUUUGCCAUGAUGAGCUUGGACUUUGGGGGUCUUGCUGGCCUAUGGUUAGCUCCUCUCAAUCAAAUCAGCUUGCCAGUGUUUGGUGGCGUCACAGGUGUGAUAACUAUCUACGCUUGUGGCUCUCUGCCAGAUAACCUUCAGCGAUGAAGGUCCACUGGAGCUCAUAAAUGUCUCUCCUCAGUGAGGACAGCUCUUUGAAUGUUUGAUCUCAAAUCAGGUAGGACUACCCGUUGAACUUAAGCAUAUCAAUAAGCGGAGGAAAAGAAACUAACAAGGAUUCCCCUAGUAACUGCGAGUGAAGCGGGAAAAGCUCAAAUUUGAAAUCUGGCAGUUCUUGACUGUCCGAGUUGUAAUCUAGAGAAGUGUUACCUGUGCUGGACCGUGUACAAGUCUCCUGGAAUGGAGCAUCAUAGAGGGUGAGAAUCCCGUCUUUGACAUGGACUACCUGUACAUUAUGGUGCGCUCUCGAAGAGUCGAGUUGUUUGGGAAUGCAGCUCAAAAUGGGUGGUAAAUGCCAUCUAAAGCUAAAUAUUGGCGAGAGACCGAUAGCGAACAAGUACCGUGAGGGAAAGAUGAAAAGAACUUUGGAAAGAGAGUUAAACAGUACGUGAAAUUGCUGAAAGGGAAACGCUUGAAGUCAGUCGCGUCUGCUAGAAAUCAGCCUUGCUUUUGCCUGGUGUACUUUCUGGUUUGACGGGUCAGCAUCAAUUUUGACCACUGGAUAAAGUCUUUGGGAAUGUGGCAUCUUAGGAUGUGUUAUAGCCCAUUGUCGCAUACAGUGGUUGGGAUUGAGGAACUCAGCACGCCCGCAAGGGACGGGUUUCGACCACGUUUCGUGCUUAGGAUGCUGGCAUAAUGGCUUUAAUCGACC